ACGAACGCUCGCGGCGUGCUUAACACAUGCAAGUCGAACGGAAAGGCCCCUUUGGGGGUACUCGAGUGGCGAACGGGUGAGUAACACGUGAGUAACCCGCCCUUGACUUCGGGAUAACUUCAGGAAACCGGGGCUAAUACCGGAUAGGAAUCCUUGCUGCAUGGUGGGGGUUGGAAAGCUUCGGCGGUUUUGGAUGGGCUCGCGGCUUAUCAGCUUGUUGGUGGGGUAGUGGCUUACCAAGGCUUUGACGGGUAGCCGGCCUGAGAGGGCGACCGGCCACAUUGGGACUGAGAUACGGCCCAGACUCCUACGGGAGGCAGCAGUGGGGAAUAUUGCACAAUGGGCGGAAGCCUGAUGCAGCAACGCCGCGUGCGGGAUGACGGCCUUCGGGUUGUAAACCGCUUUCAGCAGGGGCGAAGCUUGUGGUGACGGUACCUGCAGAAAAAGCACCGGCUAACUACGUG
rnacentral:rRNA from 1 species